rnacentral:SRP_RNA from 1 species
AUUUGGGCCCUGUGCGAGUGAAUUCUGUGAACCAUGUCAGGCGGGGAACCGAGCAGCAUUAAUCAGAUGUUUUGCUGCGCCACAGAAUUACCUGAGUGUU